UUCGUAGGCGGUGUGGCAAGUCGGGAGUGAAAUCUCUGGGCUCAACUCAGAGUCUGCUUCCGAAACUGCUGUGCUGGAGUGUGGGAGAGGCGCGUGGAAUUGCAGGUGUAGCGGUGAAAUGCGUAGAUAUCUGCAGGAACACCCGUGGCGAAAGCGGCGCGCUGGACCACUACUGACGCUGAGGAACGAAAGCUAGGGGAGCAAACA
rnacentral:rRNA from 1 species